GAAACAGAAGAUCAGCAGAAUGAACCAAAUGUUCAGCAGCUGAUGCUCCACAAUGAUGAUCCGGAGAACAAUGUUACUUAUGCUGCUGUUGGUGGUUUCAAUCCAAAUACUUCCACUAAAGUAACAACACAGUCUCACUCCCGACUCAUCAAAAACCAACGCUUGGUCAGGACCC